UCCAAAUUAUACACAUGCUCUCCAUGAACCAAAGAUAUGUUCUUUUGAGUUUUGACCCCAUAUCUAUGAGCCCAUAGAGUGCAUAAAAAAUCCGCCUACAUCAGCUUAUCGAAUAAUCAACUUCUAAAGUCGAAUAAUUAACUUCUAAAUGUCGAAAAGCUAUAAAGAUAUCAGGUCUAUAGACCGCUAAUAAAUAUAUCCUAAGCAGUACCCUGAGCAGCGAAUUGUGAGCUUUGACCAAGGAACUUGACAAUUUCUUGCUUCUUUAUUUUGUAGUUGAACUUUGCAUGUUCCAACAAUGCCUGCUCCCUCUGGCAUAUCUUCUCACAUUAUUUCCUUCUUCCACCUUUUCUCCUUCAUUUGCUAUUUCCAUUUCAAAAUAGUUCUCAGGUAGUUUCAAUGCUUCAGAGAUUUUCGGGGAUUUCACGUCUAAGUCGCCU
rnacentral:lncRNA from 1 species